rnacentral:rRNA from 1 species
AUUGAACGCUGGCGGCAUGCCUUACACAUGCAAGUCGAACGGCAACAGGUCUUCGGAUGCUGACGAGUGGCGAACGGGUGAGUAAUACAUCGGAACGUGCCCGAGAGUGGGGGAUAACGAGGCGAAAGCUUUGCUAAUACCGCAUACGAUCUCAGGAUGAAAGCAGGGGACCGCAAGGCCUUGCGCUCAUGGAGCGGCCGAUGGCAGAUUAGGUAGUUGGUGGGAUAAAAGCUUACCAAGCCGACGAUCUGUAGCUGGUCUGAGAGGACGACCAACCACACUGGGACUGAGACCCGGCACAGACGCCUACGGGAGGCAGCAGUGGGGAAUUUUGGACAAUGGGAGCAAGCCUGAUCCAGCCAUGCCGCGUGCAGGAUGAAGGCCUUCGGGUUGUAAACUGCUUUUGUACGGAACGAAAAGACUCCUUCUAAUAAAGGGGGUCCAUGACGGUACCGUAAGAAUAAGCACCGGCUAACUACGUGCCAGCAGCCGCCGUAAUAC